CACGUAGGAGGCGAGCGUUGUCCGGAAUCAUUGGGCGUAAAGAGCGCGCAGGCGGCUUGGCAAGUCGGGUGUGAAAUCCCGGGGCUCAACCCCGUGACUGCAUUCGAUACUGUCAGGCUAGAGGUAGGUAGGGGAGAUCGGAAUUCCUGGUGUAGCGGUGAAAUGCGCAGAUAUCAGGAGGAACACCGGUGGCGAAGGCGGAUCUCUGGGCCUUACCUGACGCUCAGGCGCGAAAGCUAGGGGAGCGAAC
rnacentral:rRNA from 1 species